UUCCAGCAACACUAGUUAUUUUUCUUAUGGUGGCAAUCAGUGCCAAAUCGAGUAACAAGCAAGAAUUGCCUGUGGUGGGAACAAAGGAAAACUUGGCAUCAACUCAGUCCAAGGACUGCCUGCUGCCUCUCUGGCCGGGAGCAGGUCUCCAGGAGGAGACCAAAGGGGAGGAUGAUAAAGAAACUUACUUCCAGCCUUUGGACAUCAUACUACUUUCCACACCCCACCGGUCCAAACACUACCAUUGGAAUGAGCUACACCUGAGUCAUCUAGAACAGGAGCUACCAGCCACCUAGGGAAUCCACAGCAUCUACUGCAGUGGUUUGACAUCAGCUGUCAACAGUUGCUACCGGUUACCAUAGCCACUGACGGUGCGAGCACUGAGCUUCAUCUGCAGGGGCCCUCGCAGGGCUCAAAAGAGGGAGUUUUGGAAGAGUUCCCUGAGUCCCUCUUACUUGCUUCAAUUUCAUAAAGCAGACUACAGAGAAAAGCUGCUGGUCACGUGAGCUUUCUGGUUGCCCAGAUUCUGAGGGGAGGAGGAAGCAUUUUCCUGUAAUUAAACUGUAAGAAUUAAUUGCAAUUAAA